rnacentral:tRNA from 1 species
GGAGAGGUGGCCGAGUGGCUGAAGGCAACGGUUUGCUAAACCGUCAUAGGGGUUAAGGCCCCUAUCGCGGGUUCGAAUCCCGCCCUCUCCG